AAAAAAACUAUUUUUAACCGGGAGACAGUGUAGUUUCAAGUGGGAAAAGUGUAAUUUAAUUGGGAAAUUUGUUUUUCUUGCCCACGUAUACACCCUGUUUAUUAUUUGUACGCAUAUAUUUUUGUUUUGGUCUCUCCACAUAUGCAAAUUUAUUAGUAAUUAACUAUAUCUUCUAUUCUUCACAGUACCAUGUACCUACUUUGAGCUCAAGAUACCUUUCAUGUCCCACAAUUAUAAGGGUCUCACAAUUUUCAAAGUACAACUUCCAUUUUCAGGAGAAAACAGUCAUAGUAAACGU
rnacentral:lncRNA from 1 species